rnacentral:rRNA from 1 species
GACGAACGCUGGCGGCGUGCUUAACACAUGCAAGUCGAACGGUAAGGCCCUUCGGGGUACACGAGUGGCGAACGGGUGAGUAACACGUGGGUGAUCUGCCCUGCACUUCGGGAUAAGCCUGGGAAACUGGGUCUAAUACCGGAUAGGACCACUGCCUGCAUGGGUGGUGGUGGAAAGCUUUUGCGGUGUGGGAUGGGCCCGGGGCCUUUCUGCUUGUUGGUGGGGUGGUGGCCUACCAAGGCGGCGACGGGUAGCCGGCCUGGGAGGGUGACCGGCCAAACUGGGACUGAGAUACGGCCCAGACUCCUACGGGAGGCAGCAGUGGGGAAUAUUGCACAAUGGGCGCAAGCCUGAUGCAGCGACGCCGCGUGAGGGAUGACGGCCUUCGGGUUGUAAACCUCUUUCAGCACCGACGAAGCGCAAGUGACGGUAGGUGCAGAAGAAGGACCGGCCAACUACGAGCCAGCCGCCGCCGUAA